ACUCCUACGGGAGGCAGCAGUGGGAAUAUUGCACAAUGGGCGAAAGCCUGAUGCAGCAAUGCCGCGUGUGUAGAAGCAAGGCCGUGCAGGGUUGUAAAGCACUUUUAUCGGGAAAGAAAAACCAGGGCUAAUACCCUUGGUCUUGACGGUACCCGUUGAAUAAGCACCGGCUAACUCCGUGCCAGCAGCCGCGGUAAUACGGAGGGUGCAAGCGUUAAUCGGAAUUACUGGGCGUAAAGCGUGCGCAGGCGGUCUGUUAAGCGAGAUGUGAAAGCCCGGGCUCAACCUGGGAACUGCAUUUCGAACUGGCAGACUAGAGUCUUGUAGAGGGGG
rnacentral:rRNA from 1 species